rnacentral:rRNA from 1 species
AGAGUUUGAUCCUGGCUCAGAGUGAACGCUGGCGGCACGCCUAACACAUGCAAGUCGAGCGAUAAGCUAACUUCGGUUAGUGGACAGCGGCGGACGGGUGAGUAUCGCGUGGGAAUUUACCAUAGAGUGGGGGACAACUGCUGGAAACGGCAGCUAAUACCGCAUACGCCCUAAGGGGGAAAGGCUUCGGCCGCUCAAUGAGAAGCCCGCGUACGAUUAGUUUGUUGGUGGGGUAAUGGCCUACCAAGACUACGAUCGUUAGCUGGUCUGAGAGGACGAUCAGCCACACUGGGACUGAGACACGGCCCAGACUCCUACGGGAGGCAGCAGUGGGGAAUAUUGGACAAUGGGCGAAAGCCUGAUCCAGCGAUGCCGCGUGAGUGAAGAAGGCC